rnacentral:rRNA from 1 species
AGCUCGUAGUUGGAUUUCGGGCGGGUGCUGCCGGUCUUCCCAUGGGGUUGCACUGGCAAGGCCCGCCUUCCUGCCGGGUACAUGGACUGAUCUUCACCUCUCGGUGUCAUGGUAGUCGGCGUGGUUACUUUGAGUAAAUUAGAGUGUUCAAGGCAAGCUCGCGCUGUGAAUACUUUAGCAUGGAAUAACACGAUAGGACUCUGGCCUAUCUCGUUGGCCUGUAGGACCGGAGUAAUGAUUAAGAGGGACAGUCGGGGGCAUUCGUAUUUCAUUGUCAGAGGUGAAAUUCUUGGAUUUAUGAAAGACGAACUUCUGCGAAAGCAUUUGCCAAGGAUGUUUUCAUUAAUCAAGAACGAAAGUUGGGGGCUCGAAGACGAUUAUAUACCGUCGUAGUCUCAACCAUAAACGAUGCCGACUAGGGAUUGGUGGAUGUUGAUUCGAUGACUCCACCAGCACCUUGCGAGAAAUCAAAGUCUUUGGGUUCCGGGGGGAGUAUGGUCGCAAGGCUGAAACUUAAAGGAAUUGACGGAAGGGCACCACCAGGCGUGGAACCUGCGGCUUAAUUUGACUCAACACGGGGAAACUUACCAGGUCCAGACAUAGUGAGGAUUGACAGAUUGAGAGCUCUUUCUUGAUUCUAUGGGUGGUGGUGCAUGGCCGUUCUUACUU